AUGAACUUUAGAGACCCUGUUCACACUGAUGGAGAGAUGAAGGCUGAAGGUUUGAAAGGACAGCACGAAGCCUGGCAAAACCACUUAGAUCCCUUACCUGCUGACUAUAACUUUGGGAAAGGGAAACUGCUCACCAAGGAAGUCAAAAGGAAAGAAAGAAGCAGACUGGGUCUGAGGCUCCCAGAGGUAUCAGAGGAGGACAUUGAAUCUUGCUCCAAAUGGGUCUGUUAAAUAACCACACCAGGAAUACGGAGUUAGCCCAGAGCUGAGUGGGCCAGAAACUGUGGAUAACACAAUACAAAUCUGACCCUAUUGCUGCCAAAGUGAAUCCAGAAGGCCUAGUAUACACCUGAUCAUGCACAAACAGGUAAACAGAGCAUG
rnacentral:lncRNA from 1 species